GUAAAACAAUCAACCAGCAACGAAAUUAUUUUGUCAACAUUACAUCUAGGCUAAGAUGAGGUUCACUCUAGCACUACUCGUGACAUUCGCCUUCCUCAUACUAGUAUCAGAUGGAAAAACACAACAUUGCACAGAAACAACUAUCGGACAGUCUGGUGGGUGUUCAGCCAGUUCUUGUCAGAAUGGUUGCAAUCAAAAGUACAAGAAUGUGUGUCAUCCAAAUGAUGAGUGCAUAUGGAAGGCCAAUUGUGUUGGAACGACCUGCAAGUGCACUGUGUGCACAUUUAGCUCCUUCCCCAUGCAAGCCUCCAAAAAGGGGAACAAUGACGCUAACUAGUAACUCAUUUAAUUUUUAUUUUUACGUCAAAAAUAGUCAGAAUAAUUAUUAUAUAAAUAUAGUCGCAAGACAUUCACCCGAAAGUGAUGUAUAAGAAAAAUAAUAAUAAAAGUGAUGCUUGAGUAA